rnacentral:misc_RNA from 1 species
UUUUCGUAGGUGAACCUGCGGAAGGAUCAUUACCGAGUUGUGUCUCUUUCGAGAGCCAUCUCCACCCUGUGCGAACUAAAUUUGUUGCUUUGGCGGGCCACAGCCUAGCUGCCACCGGUUCAUCUGGUGAGCGCCCGCCAGAGGUCUUUUAAAAUCUAUUUUAUGUGACGUCUGAGCAAAAUAAUAAAUGCGAAAAACUUUCAACAACGGAUCUCUUGGUUCUGGCAUCGAUGAAGAACGCAGC